rnacentral:rRNA from 1 species
GUCGAACGAACUUCCGUUAAUUGAUUAUGACGUACUUGUACUGAUUGAGAUUUUAACACGAAGUGAGUGGCGAACGGGUGAGUAACACGUGGGUAACCUGCCCAGAAGUAGGGGAUAACACCUGGAAACAGAUGCUAAUACCGUAUAACAGAGAAAACCGCAUGGUUUUCUUUUAAAAGAUGGCUCUGCUAUCACUUCUGGAUGGACCCGCGGCGUAUUAGCUAGUUGGUGAGGUAAAGGCUCACCAAGGCAGUGAUACGUAGCCGACCUGAGAGGGUAAUCGGCCACAUUGGGACUGAGACACGGCCCAGACUCCUACGGGAGGCAGCAGUAGGGAAUCUUCCACAAUGGACGCAAGUCUGAUGGAGCAACGCCGCGUGAGUGAAGAAGGGUUUCGGCUCGUAAAGCUCUGUUGUUAAAGAAGAACGUGGGUAAGAGUAACUGUUUACCCAGUGACGGUAUUUAACCAGAAAGCCACGGCUAACUACGUGCCAGCAGCCGCGGUAAUACGUAGGUGGCAAGCGUUAUCCGGAUUUAUUGGGCGUA